GUGGGGAAUCUUGCGCAAUGGGCGAAAGCCUGACGCAGCCAUGCCGCGUGGAUGAUGAAGGUCUUAGGAUUGUAAAAUCCUUUCACCGGUGAAGAUAAUGACUGUAGCCGGAGAAGAAGCCCCGGCUAACUUCGUGCCAGCAGCCGCGGUAAUACGAAGGGGGCUAGCGUUGCUCGGAAUUACUGGGCGUAAAGGGCGCGUAGGCGGACAGUUAAGUUGGGGGUGAAAGCCCGGGGCUCAACCUCGGAACUGCCUUCAAUACUGGCUGUCUUGAGUAUGAGAGAGGUGUGUGGAACUCCGAGUGUAGAGGUGAAAUUCGUAGAUAUUCGGAAGAACACCAGUGGCGAAGGCGACACACUGGCUCAUUACUGACGCUGAGGCGCGAAAGCGUGGGGAGCAAACAGGAUUAGAUACCCCUGUAGUCC
rnacentral:rRNA from 1 species